AGGUUGAUAUUCCUGUACCACCUCUUUAUCGUUUGAGCAAUGGAGGGACGCAGAAGGAUAGAAGAAGCGUGCGAUUGGUUGUGCACGUCCAAGCAGUUAGGCUGAUAAGUAGGCAAAUCCGCUUAUCGUGAAGGCUGAGCUGUGAUGGGGAAGCUCCUUAUGGAGCGAAGUCUUUGAUUCCCCGCUGCCAAGAAAAGCUUCUAGCGAGAUAAAAGGUGCCUGUACCGCAAACCGACACAGGUAGGCGAGGAGAGAAU
rnacentral:rRNA from 1 species